UACGUAGGGGUGCAAGCGUUAAUCGGAAUUACUGGGCGUAAAGCGUGCGCAGGCGGUUGUGCAAGACAGAUGUGAAAUCCCCCGGGCUCAACCUGGGAAUUGCAUUUGUGACUGCACGGCUAGAGUGUGUCAGAGGGGGGUAGAAUUCCACGUGUAGCAGUGAAAUGCGUAGAGAUGUGGAGGAAUACCGAUGGCGAAGGCAGCCCCCUGGGAUAACAC
rnacentral:rRNA from 1 species